UCUAGUGACCAUAGAGGAAGGGACACACCCGGUCCCAUGCCGAACCCGGCAGUUAAGCCUUCCUUCGCCGAUGGUACUACGGAGGGUAUCCGUGGGAGAGUAGGACGUUGCUAGAA
rnacentral:rRNA from 1 species